rnacentral:rRNA from 1 species
GUGCACGCUGGCGGUAGGCCUAACACAUGCAAGUCGAACGGCAGCACCGUAAGAGCUUGCUCUUACGGGUGGCGAGUGGCGGACGGGUGAGGAAUACAUCGGAAUCUACUUUUUCGUGGGGGAUAACGUAGGGAAACUUACGCUAAUACCGCAUACGACCUACGGGAGAAAGCAGGGGAUCUUCGGACCUUGCGCGAUUGAAUGAGCCGAUGUCGGAUUAGCUAGUUGGCGGGGUAAAGGCCCACCAAGGCGACGAUCCGUAGCUGGUCUGAGAGGAUGAUCAGCCACACUGGAACUGAGACACGGUCCAGACUCCUACGGGAGGCAGCAGUGGGGAAUAUUGGACAAUGGGCGCAAGCCUGAUCCAGCCAUACCGCGUGGGUGAAGAAGGCCUUCGGGUUGUAAAGCCCUUUUGUUGGGAAAGAAAAGCAGCAGGUUAAUACCCCGCUGUUCUGACGGUACCCAAAGAAUAAGCACCGGCUAACUUCGUG